rnacentral:rRNA from 1 species
AGGUUCCCUUCUCUUGAGGGAGGGGUUCUGGCUGGGGAUGGGCUCGCGGCCUAUCAGCUUGUUGGUGGGGUGAUGGCCUACCAAGGCGACGACGGGUAGCCGGCCUGAGAGGGCGACCGGCCACACUGGGACUGAGACACGGCCCAGACUCCUACGGGAGGCAGCAGUGGGGAAUCUUGCGCAAUGGGCGGAAGCCUGACGCAGCGACGCCGCGUGGGGGAUGAAGGCCUUCGGGUUGUAAACCUCUUUCAGCAGGGACGAAGGGACGGACCUCAAA